rnacentral:rRNA from 1 species
AUACGUAGGUGGCAAGCGUUGUCCGGAAUUAUUGGGCGUAAAGCGCGCGCAGGCGGUCCUUUAAGUCUGAUGUGAAAGCCCACGGCUCAACCGUGGAGGGUCAUUGGAAACUGGGGGACUUGAGUGCAGAAGAGGAAAGGGGAAUUCCAAGUGUAGCGGGGAAAUGCGUAGAGAUUUGGAGGAACACCAGUGGCGAAGGCGACUUUCUGGUCUGUAACUGACGCUGAGGCGCGAAAGCGUGGGGAGCAAACAGGAUUAGAUACCCUGGUAGUCCACGCCGUAAACGAUGAGUGCUAAGUGUUAGGGGGUUUCCGCCCCUUAGUGCUGCAGCUAACGCAUUAAGCACUCCGCCUGGGGAGUACGGUCGCAAGACUGAAACUCAAAGGAAUUGACGGGG